UAACGCGUGAGGAAUCUGCCUCGAAGAGGGGGACAACAGUUGGAAACGACUGCUAAUACCGCAUAAGCCCACGGUGCCGCAUGGCACAGAGGGAAAAGGAGUAAUCCGCUUUGAGAUGGCCUCGCGUCCGAUUAGCUAGUUGGUGAGGUAACGGCCCACCAAGGCGACGAUCGGUAGCCGGACUGAGAGGUUGAACGGCCACAUUGGGACUGAGACACGGCCCAGACUCCUACGGGAGGCAGCAGUGGGGAAUAUUGCACAAUGGGGGAAACCCUGAUGCAGCGACGCCGCGUGGAGGAAGAAGGUCUUCGGAUUGUAAACUCCUGUUGUUGGGGAAGAUAAUGACGGUACCCAACAAGGAAGUGACGGCUAACUACGUGCCAGCAGCCGCGGUAAAACGUAGGUCACGAGCGUUGUCCGGAAUUACUGGGUGUAAAGGGAGCGCAGGCGGGAAGACAAGUUGGAAGUGAAAUCUAUGGGCUCAACCCAUAAACUGCUUUCAAAACUGUUUUUCUUGAGUAGUGCAGAGGUAGGCGGAAUUCCCGGUGUAGCGGUGGAAUGCGUAGAUAUCGGGAGGAACACCAGUGGCGAAGGCGGCCUACUGGGCACCAACUGACGCUGAGGCUCGAAAGUGUGGGUAGCAAACAGGAUUAGAUACCCUGGUAGUCCACACCGUAAACGAUGAUUACUAGGUGU
rnacentral:rRNA from 1 species